rnacentral:tRNA from 1 species
GGAGGUAUGCCCGAGUGGCUGAAGGGGCUCCCCUGCUAAGGGAGUAUGCGGCUAAAACUGUAUCGUGAGUUCGAAUCUCACUACCUCCGCCA